AUUCCUGCUUCCAGGUAUUCACAGCUCAGUGAUGCUACUCAUCUGUCAAGGCACAAAGCCUUGCAGAAACCUCUGAGUUCUGCUCUAGAACUACUUGCUAGAGGUGAAGGCAGAAUGUGAGUAGGGCUUGGCUGGAGUACAAGAACAGCAUACAGCUGACUGCCAGGCGAUAACUGCUUGUACACAGGUGUCACCUGGAUGGUGCUCUGGAUGCUUGUUUCAGCUGAUGAACCACCUGUGGUGUGAGGAUGAUGGCUGAGCUCUGGAGGUGCCUCACGGGACCAGUGUCUGCAGCUCCAUGUGGGCACCACCAGCCUCCACGGAUGGGAGAUGAGCUGUGACAAACAACCCUUCCUGCUGCCCUGUGGGCAGGGCUCACUUGAGGGUGAGUGUGCAUGGAGCCCAGCCCUGGCAGUCACUCUAGGUAGAGUAGCAGCUAGUAAAUCUCCCUGUGGGUGGUGUGGACAACAGGCUGCCUCGGGCUGGGAGAUCUCCAGGGUGGUGGUUUUCUUUUAUCUGUUAUUUUUUUGGAUAAGCAGCAGCGAGCAGGAGAGGAAAUAAGGGGAUGAAGUGGUGAUGCUGGGGACACGUCCUGGCAGCCAGCCGAGCCCGCAGCCCCCACCUCUCACUGCCUCGGACGUCACCAAUGCGUUUCCCUGCGCGUCCUCUGACUGUCACAGCAUCACAAGCCGUGGAAUCACACCCAGUCGCUGUGGCAACGUCACCUGCUGUGAUGUGCUGUGCCAUUGCCUAGCAACAAGCAAAGGGUCCCUGUAGAUGGUGGGGUGCAGGUCCCUUGUCCUGGGGCUCCACCCAGCCCAUGUGUGGAUGAAUGCUCUCCCUUUUCCCCACAGACAGGGAAUAUGCUUUUUUAACCUGGGUAAUUUUUAACCCUUUCCCUCCAGAAGGUUUUGUGCUGUGGUUUGCUAGCAGUGCGUGCCCUUGUUUCAUUCUGCGUACAUCCAGAAGAAUGGACAGAAGUCCCUUCUGCCUCUGCUUGCUCGUAACCAAAGGACACAGGGAACUGAAACAGAUGGGAGAGAGUGGAGAAGUUGGAAAGAAAACAAUCUCCAAGCCAUGGCUUUCUUGGUGUGCUCUGCUUCACCUCCUGUACCCUGUGUGUCUGUGGGGAGCAGUACAUACCUUGGUGUGCAAGCUCUGCAGCUCAGCGUUUUGCUUGGCAACGUUGAGAAAGAUCCAGGGCCUUCUCUAAAUGGAAGGUGAAACUUCAACCUGCCGAGGAGCCAGCAUCGCAGCUGAAGCCCCUCAGCGCACACAGACAUACCCAUGUGUGAUUUAGAAGCCAUCAAUGAGCCUUGCCAGUCAUUUACACACCACUUCAGAGCCUUAGUGCAAAGGAAAAGCCACACCGCACAUAGCAUCCAGCUCCUGCACUCAGAGAACCACCAGGAGUGGAGUAGACCUCCAAGCUCAUCCAAUCCAACCACCCCCCCACUGCCAACAUCACCCUAUUAAACCAUGUCCUUUAGCACAACAAGUGUUUCUUGUUCACCUCCAGGGCCAACAACCCAACCCCUUCCCUGGGCAGCCCUAUCCAGUGCCUGACCGCUCUUUUGGAGCAGGUAUUUUUCCCAACAUCCAGCCUCAAAAAGCUGGGAUGAGACAAGCAUUUCUGCACCAACAGAACAAGAUACGAAACGUCUCCACCACUCGCAGAGGAUAAAUCUGGGAUCACAGAUCAGAGUUUAUUACAGGACUUCAGCUGUAUGUUUAGAAAUGAACUCAAAUUCAGAGUUCUAAGUGAAACCAGAGUAGGCGUGUGUGGUAGGAACGCUGAGCCACACCUGCAAAGCCAGAAUACAUUUGGCCAACAGCAGCUGUCUCUGCCCUACGUGUGCACUGCCCCAGGGAACAAAGCUAACAUAGGAAUUAGAGAUGUUUCUCACCAAUGUGGUGAUAACUCUGCAAAAGCAGAGUGUUGAGGCAAGGUAUCAGAAGAGCAGGCCAGCGUGCUGGCUGCCUGGAAAUGGAGAGGCUUCACUGGGUUCCCAUAGCCAGCUUGGGGCUGCUAUCUGGGGGGAAAUCUCUCCUCCUACGUCACUAUAGCAGAGCAAUUGUCACCAAGGAUUUCAUUUGAGACUUUGCUUUUGGCUAUCAGAGAGUUCUCAGUGUAGGGAGGGAGGUAAAAGAUGCCAGUCUUUCCUCCCCGUUCCUCUGAGAGGGAGAAGCUUACUGUGAAAUUCAGUUCACUUCAAUGGCAACAGGAAGAGACUGGCUUUUAAUCUUCAGGAACAAGGAUGACAAGGCUUGUGUUGUAGAAAAUUACUGUUCAAGUUUGUGUGGGCCAAGAGCACAGCCUCAGACCUGACAAACUCAGCAGGAAAAUACAACCUGGCCCUUAAGCAGAGAACUGCCAUCAGAUGCUGCUAUCGGAGGCAUCACCUGAAAAACCAGAAUCUGUCAUUCAACCGGAAAGUUGGAGCAAUAGCAGCGGGAUGAAAAAUGCAAACAAUUGGCAGCAUUUCCUUUCCUUCACCUCCCAAAUGGGUCCAUAAAAGUGGAGGUAAACACUUGGGGAAUGUUACUUUAAGCACUGUAUAAAGCCUGAGCUUUC